UUCCUCAUCCUUGUUUUUGCUAUGUUUUUGGGAGUAAUCCUUAUUUGAUUUGAUGCAGUAUUUUAGGUAAUCUGGUUGGCGAAAUUGAUGCUUGUGUAAAAUAUUUGGGGUUUCUUAGGGGGAGAAAAUAGCGGUAGUUAAUUUAUUCGCAUUAGUUAGCCUGCUGGUUUAGGAUCUGCAUCGUUGAGGUCUUUAGCUAAUUCCUCUGUUCUUUGGUCGAGGGAAGACGUCCAAGAUCAUAAUAUUAGGCUUCUCCCCGUGAUGUGAUGUUUAUGGGAUGAUGAUAGUAACAUGAGUGUGAUCUUAUUUGAGAAAAUAGCGGUAGUUAAUUUAUUCGCAUUAGUUAGCCUGCUGGUUUAGGAUCUGCAUCGUUGAGGUCUUUAGCUAAUUGCUCUGUUCUUUGGUCGAGGGGAAGAUGUCCAAGAUCAUAAUAUUAGGCUUCUCCCCGUGAUGUGAUGUUUAUGGGAUGAUGAUAGUAACAUGAGUGUGAUCUUAUUUGCAGGGAAGACCUAUGACAUGUUUGCAAAGACGGAAAGAUACAUAAGAUCAAUGCUGAAUACGUCUUCAAGGUGCUCGAUGGGAUUGAGUUCCUAGGGUUUUUAGAGCCCCUGAUCAAGCAUUUGAAGGUCCGUGUGGUUGUCUACUUGUCUCCUCCAUUCUGUUACAUUCUGCUGUUAUUACUCAGUUGUGUCAGUCAAGCAUAUGUUCUUUGAGUUUAGAUGUUGGAUAGAUAAAUAAUUCUAUGUGAAAAUGCAAAUGAAAGGUGCAGUGGCUCAGUGCUUUAGGUUGUUGGUUACAAUGUGGGACCAUAAAUAAAUAGAAGUUGUUAACCACAAUGGAAGUUCAUUGGCUCUUUAUAUCCUUUUGAACAAGGGAUUGCAUGAAUAUGGGAUUCCUUUUCCUGUAGCGAAUAGCUAUUGUGUUUAGACGCAAUCAUGUUAAAAAGAACAUUCAGCUUUAUUCAAUUGCAUUUGACCCUUUCUACAAUCUUUAGAAGCAAAAAUGUAGCCCGGAGCAAAAUGGAUGAAACUGGAUAAAGAGGCAGUGCUGUAGGAGCAAAACGGUGUUCUUCACCUCCUGAUGCUCUUGACGCAGGUCUUGGAGUCUCCAUCCUGUUCUGUAUCCUUCUACUAUGUGUUGGUACAACUCAGAUAUUCUUUGGUUUAAAAUGGUUUGUGGUAACGUGUUAACUGCUCAUGCAACGUGUUACCAUCUCCACUCAAAGAUCAUUUUCUCCAUGUUUAUCUACCGAUAGGAGGUAGCUAGGCUGUAGCAACACAAAUUUAUAGUUUUUUUUGUGAAUUAACACAAAUAAUAAUUGCGAGAAUGCCAUUAUUAUUAAUGUACUAAGCUUUCAUCCUUGACGCAAACCUCGAGUACCUCACCGUUCUGACUUCAGAAAGACCAACUGCUUGUCCAGGCUACCUUUCUAUAUAAGAAACUAUAUAAUGACCACAUAUAGCUCUUUUAAAGUAGGGAUUACCAAACAAUAUUAGUUAUUAACUAAAUUUUUCUAUGGUCUUUUUGUAAGAAAUAGUUAAGAGAAUUUGACUUGAAUAUUGUUACUAUGAUUGCUAUUGUCAUUUUUGGUACACAAUAGUUCUCAUGGUGUUUUCUAUUAGCCGUGUUACCCAUUGCUGCUAGGCUAGCUUUUGUCUUGAAUCAUUUUAAGGUGUUAUUACGAAGUUGAAAUUGUUAGAACACGGUGGUUGCUUGUGCAACUAUCUGCAAAACAUAGAGAUUCAUGUGUAGUGGCUUCAUAAAAUGUCAUGAGUUUUGAAGAAAACCAUAAUGUUAAUGUAUGCCUACUUUGUCUGGUUUUGUGUAGUUUUGACUCAUGUGAGAUUGUCAUCCUGGUGAUGUUGGUAGCAGUACUCCGACUGUGCAAACUCGUGGAUUAGAUUAGAUGUCUUGCUACCAUGAGGUCAUUUGGAACUUCUGAUUGAGUUGCAUCCAUGCUAGCCUAGCCUACCCUACAAGCUCUAUUAUUGAUGGCUUUUUAAAGUUGGAGAAAAUGGGGGCUAUAGUUUGCGUCAAUAGGAGAUUUAUGUUCUGCUCCCACGGUAUCACAAUUUUUUCCCUUCAAAUAGCAUAGCAAAUAUCUUUUAAAAUGAUUACAAAUUUACAUUAGUAGAGACUGACGUAUUUAACAUGGUGUCAUUUUGUGCAGUUUUUUCUCUUCAGGCAUUUGCUUGCAUCAAAGAUUUAUUUCCACCGCCUAAUCGAUCAAAACAAUUGCUGGGGUAAAUAAAUAUAUGUGGCUUUCAUAUUGUAGCUGAGUACUUGCUCUGUUUCCUUCACAUUGCAUGAAGCUCCUGCACUGUCGAGAAACAUGAUGUUUAUUGUUGAAUAGCUGAGGACUGAGGUAGAAUAUGUGUGUUAUUGUGUAUAAUCUUAUUAAGCAACAACUCAUUGAAGUAUUAGUAAUGUCCGUGCUAUCUAAUAAUCAUAUAUGAAUUCAAAUAGUGCUCUAUAAUAUGUGAUAUGCAAGUUCUCUGAUGUGUGAGGGUUUAUAGACUAUAUAAGUUUGUUAUGCUUUCAAGAUGGUUCCAUUCGGAUAGAUGAGCUAACAAGAGCUAUCGAUUAAUCCAGAACAAUUGGUCAAAAUAUACAACUUGAGAUACUUGCAGUUUAGUUGCUGUCCUAUAUGAUGCACAUGUUUUUAUUCACUUUGUUAGCUUCCUUGCUACACUUACAUUCUUGGCUGCCUGGUCUCAGAUUGUUGUCAUUUGAAGCUUGCACUAAGUACAUGUGUAUUUUCAUAUGCUUCAUGUUAGUCAUGCAGUCUGUUUGCCUCUACUCAUUAGAUAAAUAUUUUUGCCGUGUAUUGAUUUGACAUUGACUUGGGGUAUGUCUAUGUAGGAGGCACAUGAAUAAGGUAAUAAUGAAUAAGAUUUGAAGAAAGAAGCUGAAGUCGUGUGCAUACCUAUGAUCUGCUUCCUUGUUGACUAGGUAUUCGUGCAUCGUUGCAUGAUGUGCUUCUAACAUGUAUCAGCAACAAAACAAAGGUAAUUUUAUUUCGGUUGUGACAAUUAUGGCUCGUUUGGUUCUUGGGCAAGGGUUUGCUCAGCCUGGCCCGGCAAGGAAGAGGUCGAUUUGGUUCCUAAGCGAGCUUACCUCGUUGCCCACAGUUUCCAGGUUUUUCUAAGCUGGAGCGAGCGAGCCAAUUUGGCUAGCCUUCAUCGGCAAGGCUAGCCUUGCCUAGCAAGGUAAACUGGCAAGGGAUCCAAACGCUCCCUUAAUUUCUGUAGGUUUUCCUAUGUUCAGUGGAAAACAUUGUGUCCAACCUGCACAAAAAUGCCAAGAAGUCCUUCUCGGAGAUGUAAGCCCUGGCGCAAGUUUCUGCCAUGAUUUCCUUCGGUUGGAUUUCGUGGAUUUAGGUGUUGAAAAAUUAUGGGCUGUGGAUGCAGGAUUAAGGACAUGUACCUGCACUACAACGAGAGAUCUGGGCUGCUUCUUGUGGCUUCCAAACUUGAAAUGUUUGUUUGGAAGUUAGUUUAGUUUUUUUAUUGUGGAUUCACAGCUUCUCACAUGUACCAUCCUCUUAGACCUUUAGAUUUUCAAAGAAACUAAAUAAAGAUAUGGUGGUAUGGUUUCAAUAGUACAACCUAAAGCCUUCCAUGCUUUAUAUUUUCUCUGAAAUUUGCUCUUGAAGAAUCAUGUAUCUAUGUUAGAUCCGGUGAGAAUAGGCGGCUUCCAAGCAGAUGAUGAGGGAGUAUUGACCACAUUUGGUUUUCGACU
rnacentral:lncRNA from 1 species